ensembl:lncRNA
AGGCUUGAACGCCCACGGGGUCACGGGUUUGAAUCCGACCUGCUGUCAUUUCCCGAUCCCAGUCUCCAUCUCAUUUCCUGUCCAAACCUUCACUGUCCUAUCUCAUUAAAGGCAAAAAGCCCAAAAACAAAUCUUUAAAAAAAGAGUGGCAAAACAGUGUGCUGUUUGUCUGUAACUCCAGAAAAACGAUGGGCAAAAGGCCAAUGGACCACCAGCUCAGCCCAGGGGGCUGUUAAUGAUCUAUUGGCCUUUUGCUAUCAGAGUUUUGACCACAAUUCCAAAUGAACCAAAAAGACCUACAUUUUAACUCAUUUUCAAAAACCACUGACAGAAAGUCGAGACCAUGAGUCACAAACCGUGGCAACAAUAAAAAAUAAAUAAAAAAUGUAAGCAUGUUCAUCACUUUGAAGUGUCCUCUUGAGACACUUCUGUUGUUGUUUGGUGUAAUUAGAGAUUUUAAGAUGAUCGUCCGUGCCCUAUCCUAAACCUACAAGAGCCAGGUGACUGAACAUUGUAAUAAAAAAAAUGUCUGUGAAUUUAAAUGGGUAACCUUAAAUGCCAACUUAAAUGCCAGUUUGUUCAAAUGUCUUUUUACUCCUUUCUUUUUUAUUAUUUGUUAUGUAUUUUGAACAGUGUAUUUAUAAGCUUCAGGUCUAUUAAAUGUAACUGGCAAACGAAGACCUAUAUGCCUGUGCCACAGUACAGAUAGAACCAAAGAUUCUAGAGCCCCAAAUCUAGAAUGUCUGGCCAGAAUCCUUCACAGCGGCAGCGUGGUUCUUCAAAGAUGCGGUAACCAUAGGUUUCCCUGGAACGCGUGGUCGUAUCUAUGGAUACAGGUGAGAUCGAAUAUGUCUGACACCUGCAAUAUUUAAGUUUGUUCCAGUAUUACUCGAGACAUUUCAAAGGACAGACGCAUAAAAUGAUACAUUUUUUCGGCUGUUGUAUAUCAAAGCAGGGAAAUGAGACUACUGAAUUUGAUGCACAGGAAGGAGGGGGAGACGCGAUGGACAGAGGUAAUGAGUUAGGACCGAGACGUAAUCUUAAAACGAAGACAAGCUCGGUCAAUUUGUCUGGGCGAGAGGUGGACCUGGUGUGUGAGGCGGUAACGGACUCGGACUCGGACUCGGAUCCGCUUGGGAGGCACAAUCGAAGCAAGAAGAAAGGGCUGGAGAUGGAGAGACCUCGGUGUCACCCAGAUAAUAGCUUUGCGUUGGCCAGAGAGCGUCUUAUCUCCUUAAAAGAGUCCAUAUCAGGAGAUGAAUGUGUGUACACGGAGAAGAUUAGACAGCAGUAUGCCGAAAUAAAGAAGGUGGAAGAAAUCAUAAACGAUCAGAGAAAGAAAAUUGCGGCUGUGCGUCAAGGAAUAGAGCAGGUCAGAUUUAGAAACAGUGAAGAACGGAUGCAGGAGCUGCAGAACAGUAGCAGGCCUGAUAAUGCCGAGGUCAAGGACAGCCAGGGGCACAAGACCCCUCCCCAAACUAAGCGAGAGCACCAAGCAGCUUUGGGAAUGAUGGAGGCUCAUCUUGAUAAGAUGGAGGGAGUGUUACUUGGUCACAAAAAAAGACUGGAUGAAAUGCGUCUUGAGAAACGUCGGGAUUUUUUGAACAAGCAGCAAAAGUGGAGGCAGAGGAUGUUGGCCAUGCAGGCGGAAAAAUACUAUCCUAAACCAGAGGAGGGAUAGCCCAGAGGGGAAUAGAGGGGCCAAGCACAAAGUGCAUUUACCAAAGUGUUUACCUACAGUUUUGCUAUAUUUUAAUGGGUUUUUGUACAGAAAUAAAGACUUUUGAU